GACGAACGCUGGCGGCGUGCUUAACACAUGCAAGUCGAACGGAAAGGCCCCUUUGGGGGUACUCGAGUGGCGAACGGGUGAGUAACACGUGAGUAACCUGCCCUUGACCUCGGGAUAACUUCAGGAAACUGGGGCUAAUACCGGAUAGGAAUCCUUGCUGCAUGGUGGGGGUUGGAAAGCUUCGGCGGUUUUGGAUGGACUCGCGGCUUAUCAGCUUGUUGGUGGGGUAGUGGCUUACCUAGGCUUUGACGGGUAGCCGGCCUGAGAGGGCGACCGGCCACAUUGGGACUGAGAUACGGCCCAGACUCCUACGGGAGGCAGCAGGGGGGAAUAUUGCACAAGGGGCGGAAGCCUGAUGCAGCAACGCCGCGUGCGGGAUGACGGCCUUCGGGUUGUAAACCGCUUUCAGCAGGGGCGAAGCUUGUGGUGACGGUACCUGCAGAAGAAGCACCGGCUAACUACGUG
rnacentral:rRNA from 1 species